rnacentral:lncRNA from 1 species
CACUUUUGAGUAAGUGUCACAUUUAUCCUAAAACUUAAAAAAAUAUCUACUAAUGCCUAAAUAUAAAGCCCAAUCCAACCAAAAAUAAAAGAUUACUCUACUCAACCCACCAUACCCAGUCCAUUUGGCCCGAUUACAAACAGAAAAGAAAAAAAAAAGAAAAAUCAAUUAUCAUCUUUUUUUCUCUCUUCACUCAAUCCACUGAAAUUCUAGACGAAGAGCCUUUCCUGUCGUCCUCCUCCGCCACAGCACCCAACGAAAUAGAGUUUCGGCGGUUGCUAAAUGCUUAAAUAAGUGUUGGUAAAUUAGCAACAUUCUUUUAGGUUAUAGCGACACUCUUUAACUGUCACUNAAAUAGAGUUUCGGCGGUUGCUAAAUGCUUAAAUAAGUGUUGGUAAAUUAGCAACAUUCUUUUAGGUUAUAGCGACACUCUUUAACUGUCACUAUAUACCUAGUGACGCCACAUAUAGCAACACUUUUUAAAAGUGUCGGUAAUUUUAGCUAGCAGCACUUUUUUGACAUAUACAUACAUUUAAAAGUGUCGCUA